rnacentral:lncRNA from 1 species
CAAAAUUACAUGACAAAAUUACUGGCUGGGAAAUAGACAUGAUAGCAUAGAGGACAGAUAUUAGCCAAUAUUGGGUGUUGAUUAAGAUUUAUUACAAAUAUAAAAGUUGUGUGUGUUUUACCUGGAAAAGAAAUGUCCAAGGCUGGGGUGGAAACCCUGGUUUGGGACUGCAAUACCUUAGACAUUUUAUCACAACAACAAAAAGGCACUAAUACUCACCAACAGUGUUUCAUACCUGAAUGAGUUAUUGCAUGGACUUAAAGUGAAAUGUGAAUUCUAAACCAGUUACCUCAUCAAUGAACCUCAUAAAGCUUUUGUCCCUAUGAGUUUCCAGGUAGGAACAAAACAGAGACAUCAUCAUGCUUGAGCAGAUAGUUGACAGUUGCUAAAGGUUUUCUCAAGAAUAAAUAAUGUUGUGUAAAUUAAUAUAAAUGGGUUGGCCCAAGAUGGAACCAUGUCCGUCAGAGUCAUAGAUUGCCUUAUUUUUGAGUUCUUUAAAGUCCUAAAAGAUUAUUGUGACAUGCAAACUUUAACCGAUCCAGUACAUGCUAAAGGUUUAUUCACACAUACAGAUAUUGUGAAGUACAAAUAUUUCCACAGUGGCUCCAUUUACAGGGUUACCCUGCAGCAUGGAGUUUUCUCAAGAAAAAACGACUGGUCCACACACAAGCUUUACCACAUUCCUUAUUUUUAUGAGGUUUCUUACAAGUCUAUGUUAAGUUAUACAUUAUGAGAUGAAUGUCAAUGUCAACUGCAGAGGCCUUACCACAUUAUUCACACACAGUUUCUCUCUCCAGUGUCUUCUUUUAUGUAUUCUGAGAUAUAUCAUGUGCUCUUUUAUGCAUUCAAAGAUAACUGUGAUAUGCAAAGGUUUACCACAUUGUGUAUAUUUAUACAGUCUCUCUGUAUCUCUCUCUGUCUCUCUCUCUCCUGUAUGUGCUCCUUGCUGCAUUAGGAGAUAACUGCUUGGCAUAGACUUUUCCACAUUGCUUAUACUCAGAAGGAUUCUGGCCCCUACAAAUAUGUUCAUGACGAUUAAGACUAUGAUCACAUUCACAUCUUUCUCUUCAGUACGUUCACUUAUACAUUCAGAAAUGAUGGUGUUGUAAAAAGGUUGCUCACAUCCAUUUCCAUUUUGUAGCUUUUCCCUCCAGUAUGUAUUCUUUUAUUCUUUUGAAGAUGACCAUGAUUUGAAAAGACUUUCACACACUAAUUAAACUUGUAACGUUUCUC